rnacentral:rRNA from 1 species
AUUGAACGCUGGCGGCAGGCCUAACACAUGCAAGUCGAGCGAGCGGCGGACGGGUGAGUAAUGUAUGGGGACUGCACGAUAGAGGGGGAUAACUACUGGAAACGGUGGCUAAUACCGCAUACUAUCGGAUAACCCAUAUGGGAUUAGCUAGUAGGUGGGGUAAAGGCUCACCUAGGCGAGGAUCUCUAGCUGGUCGGAGAGGAUGAUCGGCCAACCGGGGACUAGAAACCGGCCCGGACCCCAAGGGAGGCAGCAGUGGGGAAUAUUGCACAAUGGGCGCACGCCUGAUGCAGCCAUGCCGCGUGUAGGAAGAAGGCCUUAGGGUUGUAAAGUACGUUCAGCGGGGAGGCGUUACCCGCAGAAGAAGCACCGGCUAACUCCGUGCCAGCAGCCGCGGUAAUAC